GGGAGGCGUCGCGACUGGCGUUGAGGUGGGACGACCACCAGGGAGCGACGUGGAGUAGCCAGACCGCGGGACCGUUCGCCUGGGCCCUGGGU
rnacentral:ncRNA from 1 species